UACAGAGGGUGCGAGCGUUAUUCGGAUUCACUGGGCGUAAAGGGUGCGCAGGCGGCCGUGUGUGUGAGGCGUGAAAGCCCGGGGCUUAACCCCGGAAUUGCACCUCAAACUACACGGCUAGAGCAUUGGAGAGGGUAGCGGAAUUCACGGUGUAGCAGUGAAAUGCGUAGAUAUCGUGAGGAACACCAGAGGCGAAGGCGGCUACCUGGACAAUUGCUGACGCUCAGGCACGAAAGCGUGGGGAGCGAACAGG
rnacentral:rRNA from 1 species